GAUGAACGCUGGCGGCGUGCCUAAUACAUGCAAGUCGAGCGAACAGACGAGGAGCUUGCUCCUCUGACGUUAGCGGCGGACGGGUGAGUAACACGUGGAUAACCUACCUAUAAGACUGGGAUAACUUCGGGAAACCGGAGCUAAUACCGGAUAAUAUAUUGAACCGCAUGGUUCAAUAGUGAAAGACGGUUUUGCUGUCACUUAUAGAUGGAUCCGCGCCGCAUUAGCUAGUUGGUAAGGUAACGGCUUACCAAGGCAACGAUGCGUAGCCGACCUGAGAGGGUGAUCGGCCACACCGGAACUGAGACACGGUCCCGACUCCUACGGGAGGCAGCAGGAGGGAAUCUUCCGCAAUGGGCGAAAGCCUGACGGGGCCACGCCGCGUGAGUGAUGAAGGUCUUCGGAUCGUAAAACUCUGUUAUUAGGGAAGAACAAAUGUGUAAGUAACUAUGCACGUCUUGACGGUACCUAAUCAGAAAGCCACGGCUAACUACGUG
rnacentral:rRNA from 1 species